rnacentral:rRNA from 1 species
CCUACGGGAGGCAGCAGUGGGGAAUAUUGCACAAUGGGGGGAACCCUGAUGCAGCAACGCCGCGUGGGUGAAGAAGCGUUUCGGCACGUAAAGCCCUGUCAGCAGGGAAGAAGGUGACGGUACCUGACCAAGAAGCCCCGGCUAACUACGUGCCAGCAGCCGCGGUAAUACGUAGGGGGCAAGCGUUAUCCGGAUUUACUGGGUGUAAAGGGAGCGCAGACGGCACUGCAAGCCAGGAGUGAAAGCCCGGGGCCCAACCCCGGGACUGCUCUUGGAACUGCAGGGCUGGAGUACAGGAGGGGUAGGCGGAAUUCCUAGUGUAGCGGUGAAAUGCGUAGAUAUUAGGAGGAACACCGGUGGCGAAGGCGGCUUGCUGGACUGUGACUGACGUUGAGGCUCGAAGGCGUGGGGAGCAAACAGGAUUAGAUACCCUUGUAGUC